UUUUAAUUGCUACUUGUCGUUAUUACAGUUUCUGGUUUGGACCAUGCAUGUUUGUCUGUCAAGUAGUCCUCGACUCUGUAAUAAGCCUUCAACAUCAAUGACUUUUUUAAGUAAUUCUUAAGAGCUGGAAAGGGUAAUCUUAAAGCAUCCUCAGGUAACUUGUUAUAAAAAUGAAUGCAUUGCCCAACGAAUGACUUCUGUACUUUACGAACACGAAACUUUCUGAUAGCAAGCUUGUUUUUAUUUCUAGUAUUAUAGUUAUGGACAUCAGAAUUCUUAGUGAAGGAGUCUAGAUUCUUAACAACAUAAAUAAUACUAUCAUAUAUGUAUUGGGAAGCUACAGUUAAAAUAUUAAUUUCUUUAAAAAGUUCUCUUAAUGAUUCACGCACCCUUAAAUUAUAUAUAGAACGAAUGGCUCUCUUUUGUAAGACAAAUAUAGUCUGUAUGUCAGCUGCUUUGCCCCAAACCAGAAUACCAUAUGACAUUACACUAUGAAAAUAACUAUAAUAAACAAGGCGAGCUGUUUCAACAUUAGUCAAUUGUCUAAUUCUCCUCACAGCGUAAGCGGCCGAACUUAAUUUGUUUGCUAGUGUUCUUAUAUGAGGACUCCAUUGUAGAUUUUUGUCCAAUGUUAAACCAAGAAACAGUGCUUUAUCUACCGUCUCUAAGCAUUCAUUAUUCAAAAGUAUCUUAUUAGUAUCGACUGGUUUAACAUUCGGCAAAGAAAAUCUAACGCAUUUAGUUUUCUUAGCAUUAAGAAGCAAAUUGUUCAUAGUAAACCAGUUAAGUACAUUAACGAGUGUGCUGUUAAUUACACUGUAAUCGGUAGAUUUCUGAUCAACCUUAAAAAGUAAUGAUGUGUCAUCAGCAAAAAGAACAAUUUCACAAAGAUUUUCUACUACACAUGGCAAAUCAUUUAUAUAAACCAAAAACAGGAAUAGACCCAAAAUAGAACCUUGUGGCACUCCUAAUUGGACUACAGUACCGCUAGACCGGGUUUUGUUUACAACAACUGUUUGUGUUCUGUUGCUAAGGUAAGAAGACAUAAAGUUUAGGGCAUUUACUGACAGACCAUAGUGUUCUAAUUUCAAAAUGAGCGUUCCAUGAUCCACACAAUCAAAUGCUUUAGAAAGAUCACAAAAUAUGCCAAUUGCAUCACAAGAAUUUUCCCAAAUAUCAUAAAUAUGUUUAAUAAGUACCGAAGCAGCAUCGGUCGUAGAACGGCCCUUUGUGAAACCAAACUGAUUGCUUGUAAGUAAAGUAUGUCUGUUGAAGUGACCCAGUAGAUCAUUUAACAUUAACUUUUCAAAAACUUUACUUAGUACAGGAAGUAUUGAUAUUGGACGGAAAUUAGCCAUAUCACUCGAAUCACCCGAUUUAAAAAGAGGUAUGACUUUGCUAUAUUUCAUAAGAUCUGGAAAGACGCCUUGUGAAAUUGAAAUAUUAUAAAUUACGGCUAAGUAAGGCGCUAUUACGUCUAAGACAUGACUAAUGACUGUAACGGAUGUUGUUUAUCCGAGACAAUGUUGACUUGACAAUCGCGUGAUUUACAUUUACCAGCUUCCCUAUUUAUAAUAUUCCAUGUUGUCUUCACUUUGUUGUCCGACACUUUCAGUUUAGAACUUGUAUAGUUUGCUUUGGCUGUUAAACACACUCUCUUGAAGAUUUUUGAGUAGUUCCUCACAUAGUCCAGGAAAUCUGUAUUUUUGUUCAGCUCUCUCUCACCAUAAAGUUCAUAAAGCCUUUUUCUACUUUUAUAAAUGCCUGCAGUAGCCCAUUCACUAAACUGUGUUCUAGUUUUUGACCCACUAGCUAAUAGUUUUCAUACUGAAAUUUUGAUUAAAAUGAUAAAGAAUUACGUUAAAAACAUCUUCAUACAAAUUAUUACAGUUGUAAUGUGAAAAUGGUAAAAUACAGAGACUUUUUUGAAUUUCAUUUUUGAAUAAUUCCAAGCGACUACUAGUAAUGGGUCUUUAUGUUAUUGUUUGUGGAGUAUCAUGAAUAUCGCUUAAGAAAA